UACAGGUUGGUGCUGCCCACCAACACAGAGUUACCAAAUCGACGGUUAGCGGAACAGUCUGGAAAGGCUGGCGAGACAGGGUGAUAGCCCCGUAUGCGAAAGCCGAUCGAUCUCUGAGUGGAGUUCCCAAGUAUGUCGGGGCACGAGAAACCUUGACAGAAUUUGCCGCGACCAUGCGGUAAGGCUAAAUAUGUUCAUCUGACCGAUAGUGAACCAGUACCGUGAGGGAAAGGCGAAAAGAACCCCGAUGAGGGGAGUGAAAUAGAACCUGAAACCGUCAAUCUACAAGCAGUGGAACCCCUAUGGUUUACCAGGGGAACCGCGUGCCUUUUGCAUAAUGAGCCGGCUAGUUAUUUUCAGUGGCGAGGCGAAGCCGAGGAGGCACAGCCGCAGGGAAACCGAGUCUGAAUAGGGCGUAUAGUCGCUGGAAAUAGACGCGAAACGGGAUGAUCUAUCCUUGAGCAGGAUGAAGGCAGGGUGAAACCUGUUGGAGGUCCGAACCAGUAUGGGUUGAAAACCGUUUGGAUGACUUGAGGAUAGGGGUGAAAGGCCAAUCAAAUUCCGUGAUAGCUCGUUCUCCCCGAAAUAGCUUUAGGGCUAGCGUCGGAUGUUUCGUCGUGCAGGUAGAGACCUGAAUGGACUAGGGGGCACACCCGCUUACCGAAUCCAACCAAUCUUCGAAUGGCACGCCGUGAAGUCCGGCAGUCAGACAGUGGGCGAUAAGGUCCAUUGUCGAGAGGGAAAGAACCCAGAUCGCCAGCUAAGGUCCCAAAAUCUCUGCUAAGUGGAAAAGGAUGUGGAUGUGCUUAGACAGCCAGGAGGUUAGCUUAGAAGCAGCUAUCCUUUAAAGAAAGCGUAAUAGCUCACUGGUCAAGCGGGUCUGUGCCGACAAUUCAACGGGGCUCAAGCAGAGUACCGAAGCUGCGAACGUAAGUGGUAGGGGAGCAUUCCCUAGGCCUGCGAAGGUUGACCGUGAGGACAGCUGGAGGCAUGGGAAGAGACUCUGUCGGCAUAAGUAGCGUAAAGACGGGCGAGAACCCCGUCCACCGUAAGACUAAGGAUUCCAACGCAAGGUCAAUCCGCGUUGGGUUAGUCGGACCCUAAGCUGAGGCCGAGAGGCGUAGGCGAUGGAAAGCUGGUUAAUAUUCCAGCACCAUGAAUACCUCGUUUGUACGAUGCAGGGACGCAGAAAGGUAGUCGCGCAGCUCUAUGGAAUGUGCUGUGAAAUCUUUCAAGGGUGAGACUUAGGGAAGUCCGGGUCUCAUGAGCCCAAGAAUUAUGACGAAAGGCGAUGAUCCUACGCUGCCGAGAAAAGCUGCUAAGGAGAGGUAUUUGUGUCCGUACCGCAAACCGACACAGGUAGUCGAGGAGAGAAUCCUCAGGUGUUUGAGUGAAGUGUGCUGAAGGAACUCGGCAAAUUAACCCCGUAACUUCGGGAGAAGGGGUACCACGGUAGGGUUCAUAGCCCGAGGUGGUGGCACAUAAAUGUCCCAGGCGACUGUUUAACAAAAACACAGGUCUCUGCAAACUCCAAAGAGGAGGUAUAGGGGCUGACGCCUGCCCGGUGCCGGAAGGUCAAGAGGAGCGGUUAGCGCAAGCGAAGCUGCGAAUUUAAGCCCCGGUGAACGGCGGCCGUAACUAUAACGGUCCUAAGGUAGCGAAAUUCCUUGUCGGG
rnacentral:rRNA from 1 species